GAUGAACGCACAAGACGUGCCUAACACAUGCAAAUCGAAUGAAAACAAUAAUUAAUUAUUGUUUUCAUGGUGAACGGGUGAGUAAUACAUAAGAAUCAGCUUUUAGAUAAGGCAUAAAAGAAUAAUAUCUUGGUAAUUCCUUAUAUGCGCAGUAGUGCUUUAAAAAGGGGGAGUCCCGUCUAAAAACGAGCUUAUGCCUGAUUAGCUAGUUGGCGAGUUAAAAGCUACACCAAGGCGAAGAUCAGUAGCUGGCCUGAGAGGGCGGCCAGCCACAUUGGGACUGAGACACGGCCCAAACUCCCUACGGGAGGCAGCAGUGGGGAAUCUUCUAGCAAUGGGCGCAAGCCUGACAGAGCGGCGUCGUGUGAAGG
rnacentral:rRNA from 1 species